rnacentral:rRNA from 1 species
GGGGAGUAGCCUGACGGAGCACGCCGCGUGAGUGAUGAAGGUCUUCGGAUCGUAAAACUCUGUUGUUAGGGAAGAACAAAUUUGUUAGUAACUGAACAAGUCUUGACGGUACCUAACCAGAAAGCCACGGCUAACUACGUGCCAGCAGCCGCGGUAAUA